UAAGCGAAGCCAAUUAGGGAGCCAGUUGAGGAACCCGGCGACCAAUGGGCAGCGCCUCUGAGCGCGGGAGCUGAGACAAAAGGAAAAGCUGCAGAAGGAUACGCCGCGCAGACAGGAUUUUGGAGCAAUUGGGACCUGAUCCCUCAGGCGCGGCAGAGGCCAGCGAAUCUGUAUUCUCUACUCUUCGCCCCACCUGGAACGAUUGUCAACAGAUCCUGCACAUCCUUUUUACGGCUGAAGAGAGACUGUGCACCUGCACUCUCGGGGGAAAAAAGGAGUCCAAGACUCGGACGGGUCUACGUUCACUGAUCGGCAGAGGAUCAAGCCCUGUUUCCUUCCUCACGACCUAAUUGGGACCCCAAUACAGACAGAAGUAAGAGGGCUCUUGAUGAUUAUCGCCUGCAGCUUCUAGACGUGCUCCAUGCUGCCAACAAGCCCACCCAUUUGUCCCAAGUGACUGAGUCCCUCCAGGUGCUCCAGCCUGUGCUGGUCUCCAUCCACCAGCUGUUUAGACAGAAGCACCCAGACCCACUUUUGGAAACCCCACUAAAGACUCCCAUCGAACCAGGAACUUCAGUCUUGAUGCAGCGUCAUCAUUGGGAGAAACUGCGGAUGAUGAGGACCACACCCAAUGGACGGCAGACUGGCUUCUCUCAUGAUUCAUCCAGGCUAGGGUACAGGCAUUCAUCACCCAAGAAAUCCUCCUUCUGAGUGAUAUCACUGCCUCAGGAACUCAGGUGGGACGGCCCUCAGGCCCACACUCCUUUCCCUUAGGCCCCAUGCCACCCCCUUCAGCAGGAAUCAGCUGGAGACUAGUGGCACCCAGCAACACUAAAGAGAUGGGAAUGAGAGAUCCCCUGCCCAAGACCUGCCCAGUCACCAUGGCGACGCUCCAAUGCUGAGUCAUAGUGGUGCCCAGCUCCUUCUUCCCAGAAACCCCUAUGUUUCUUCUUCCCAGCUGCCUUUGCAAAGCCUGCACACGCCAAAAAUAACCAGAUCCCUUUUAAUUUCAUCACGCUGAGCAGCUUACAUCAGCCACCCUGUGCCCUUCCUCCCAUCAGAAUGCACGCAGGAGACUCAGACUGGGUAAAAGACUAGGAAAGCAAACCCCUCCAACCCAUCUGGACUGGACCUGCAGUACUGUGCUGCUCACCCGUGCUCUUGUGGUUAUAGGUGUGGAAGACCCACCCUAGGGAGGCUCCUCACCUGGAGGUUUAAAAGGGAAGGAGGAAGGGCGAACGCAUUCCAUUCUGGGGAGAUGCUCCAGUCUUCGCCUGUGGUUUGGACCUCAUCUCGUGGUUUCCAGUGUAGACCCUUCAGCCUUCCAUCCUAGAGCCUUUGGCCUCCUGUUGCAGACCCAUCAGCCUGCGGGUGUGGACUUGCACUGGACACUGGGGUGAACUCCAGACCUUGGAUUGACCCCUUUGGUCUCCGGUGGGUAGACACCCUCGGCAAGGUUCCUCAUGCGACUGUGGCUGACCAUUGAACACCACUCCGCAUCUGUCUUUUUUUACUGUUCGGAUACUGCCUUAGAUGUACCUUAAAGUGUUUUCAGAACCCGGCUCAAGCCCUCACCAGUCAGUCAGUGCACCAGUGACCCAGUGAGACUCAACACAGCCCAGUAGCUACGCAGGAUGCCCUGGCAGCAAAGAGGGGGAAUGAGACCAAACAGGGCCACCUCGAGAUCCCCAUCUAGGAUCUCCCUCUAGGUGCUCAACCCCGAGCCUCACCCAGGAGAGAACAUUCUGUUCCUGUUGUGUUCUACUUUGUAACCAGUGUUCCAAUAGCCUCUGUUCUGUGACCACAAGAUAUGGUAAUUUCUGUACCCCACUGUACCUUAACCUUAGUCCCCUUCUAACUACAAGAUAACAACACCCACUAAACUGCUUCUAGGCAGACCAUGCAGGGCCUAGGAAGGCUCCCCACCCCUGCCAGUAAGCACCCGGCUGAUGGGGAGGACAGGCUGAUAGCAACUGAUAGCAACUGACGUACAAAAACAACUAAAUGCGUAUGUUGUUUGAUUGACUUUGCAGGCCUAAGGCCGGUAAUCUGAGCAUCUAUUGGGAGGACAACAGUAUACAGUGCAGCACCUUUGGGGGAUUUCUCUUGUCUCUUUUUUGAAACCCAAUAUUGUUCUGUUUGUUUUGUUUGAUUUUAUUAGGUCUGGUGGUAUAGACAACUACUGUGACGACAACACAUAUUAUGGUAACCACUGCUGAUUUCUGGUUAUCCUGUUUUGAAGUUCUGUACCACUUUCACUGUUUUGAUUGGCUUUAUUCUGUUCUGGUGGGUUUCAGUUUCUUUUAAGAAUAAACAAACUAGGGGCUGGGGAUUUAGCUCAGCGGCAUAAGCACUUGCCUGGCAAGCAGGCAGUUGUGAGUUCGAUCUCCGGUACCGAUAAAAAGACAAAAGACAAAAGACAAAAAAAAAAAAAAAAAAGAAUAAACAAACGUCUGCUUCUGUGAAACUGCUUCUGCUUCAAUAAAAUUCCACUCAGCUUGCCCUUGGCCCACCCCGACCAAAACAGGUGUAAAAUUCCACUUUUCCCAGGGCCGGGGCUCAGAAUGUGGUCCCUAACUCCUCUGGGCGGCUGGCUUAAUAAAGUUGAUUCCCUCUGUGUCGCUCAGUGCUGCUCGGUCUCUCUGCCUCUGAUAAACCUCAAACUGCUGACAGUGGCACUCGGAAUCCUAACACCAAAGGUCAGACCCUGGCAGACCCAUCCAAACAGACACUACCAAAAGCAAAGCCAUCAUGCUGAAGACAUCGAAGGGGACGGUCAAGACCAGCACAAAAGGAAGUGGGCAGGCCAGGCAGCAAGCCGUCAGCACCAAUGUCCGUCUCAAACACACCAUGGCAUCCAGAGGGUCCCAAAGCCCUCCUAGCUCUGACAGCUUUGAGCACUCCUUUUGGAAGGGCAGCCCACACCUGCCCAAGUUCCACGGUCAGAAUGGAGCACCCGGUUCUCCAUUCUGUGUAUGGUGACUGAAGACCACUGAGCACAGAGGAGCUUUCAAAACCGGGGAGGACAGUGGGCAAUGUGGGACCAAGUACACUGAACCGAAGGGUAAUGCCUACCCCUUCAUCCAGGAAGGCUGCAAAAUAACCCAUUUUUUAAAAUUUUUUAUUCUUUUUUCUUUUUUUUUUUUGUCUUUUUCAUUUUUAUUGGUACCAGGGCUCAAACUCACGACCGCCUGCUUGCAAGGCAGGUGCUUAUGCCGCUGAGCUAAAUCCCCAGCCCCACAAUAACCCAUUUAAGAAAGACAACAUUAAGCCAGGUGUGGUGGCUGAGACUUGUAAUCCUAGCACUUUGGAGGCUGAGGCAGGAGGACUGUUGAGAGUUUGAGACCAGCCCGGGCUACAAAGCGAGCUCAAGGCCUGUCUGAACUGCAUAGUGAGACCCUGUCUCAAAAAGAAAAAAAAAGGGGCGGGGAUGUAGCUCAGCCACUUAAGUGCCUGCCUUGCAAGUGCAUGGUUGUGAGUUGAUCGCCAGUACCAAUAAAAACACAACUUUGAAGACGCUGGUGGGCUGGAACUUCUUGUCCCCUGAGUGUCUUCCUAUUGUGUCACUGUCAGACACUGUCAGAGUGUGUCUGGAACAACUCUACAGAAGCCAAAACCUGCUCUGGACACACAACACACUGAAAGCUCCCCCUUUAAAGACUCAAGAGGCGGACUUCACAGACAGGCAGGCCGCAGCUGUGACGAGGAUCUGUUUGUACCCAUUUAGCUGGGCAGAAGCCGUACCAAGUGGACAAAAAAUGCCGAAGAAGUGGCCAAGGUCUUGCUACAGGGAAUCGUUUUCUAAAAUGGGCUGCUGGCACCUCAGUGUCUGAAGUGACAGUGGAUUGGGCUCCACAGCAGAAAUGACUUGAUUCUUACAGACCUGCUAAAACUCUGCCAGGAGAUCGGCACACCACGGUCCAUGGGUCAGGGUCCAACAUGCACCUAGACCCUCUGGUCAUUCCUCAGGAAACCCUGUGUGAGACCCUGUCUCAAAAACACCAAGAUAAAUAAAUUAAAAAACAGCCCCUCACACUCCUGUGCUGUUAAAGUAGCUGUGCUGUCCUUUGGGUACAGUAUCCAAGCUGAAGAAGGCUCACCCCAAGGACCCCUCAGCUACCUGGACCCCUCAUCCUGACCCACAGGACCCUGUCAAAACUCGACUCCAGCGGACACCACUGGACCCCAGGCGACCCCAACUCCACCACAUGAGAGACCCGGCCCUGCUGCAGUCACACGGAUGCUGAGGGGCGCACAGGAGCCUGUAGACACUGUUCACGGGAGAACACCGCAGCCAGACUCCAGCUGUAGUACACCGUCAUCUUGGCUUCUGUGUGGGCAGCCACCACCCUGCUUCCCACCCUCGUGCUAACAGAAGCGAAUUGAGGGUUGGACCCCAGCCCGCAGGGGCCUGCUGCUUUCCUGUCACAGGUAGGACGCCUGGCUGCCGUCCUCCGCUGCUGCCAUGAGCCCUUUCCCUGUCAUCCUGACUAGCACAGGGGACACCGGAAGGAUCCCUGGGUGAGCGUGGCCUCUGGCUGGCAUUCUGCAGUGGAGAAAAGUCCCACCACUGGCCCUGCCUAAGUGGCAGUUUCAACACCUGAACGGGGGGCUAGGGCUCACAGGACACCGGGGUCUCUUUCACUCAUUUCUGCCUCACUCAUAGCUGACAGCAUCAGGCUAGAACACAGCUGGUUUUUUGGUACCAAUGACUUAACUGGGGACCUUGUGCUUGCCGGACAGGCGCUUACGCCUGGGCUGUACCCCAGCCCUGGACUGCAACUGUUAAGGAAAAACUUCCUCAUACGGAUGGAUCACUGGUCACGGGCCGACUCUGACAAGUCGGGGUUCUACCAGCAGCUGGGUGGUAAGGGACCCUGACCAGGCUUAUGACAAAAAGGUGAGAGACACACAGACGGCCAGAGCUCAGCUCAGCAUCGGCAGAGCUCAGGAAAACGGCACCAGUGUCGUCGUAGUGACCUCACUGGUUUUAACCAGCUGACACCACAGGCCCCCAAGGUUCCCUGGCGGCUCUCCAACGUGCUGGGUCGAAGACGGGAGCAUCGGAGAGCUGCCAGGGCGCCGCUGCAGGCUUUGCAUCUUGCAAACGGCAUCUCCCUGUUCCCAGCCUCUGCAGGCUAGGCCUUGAGGCCCCGUUGUGGGGUGCAGCUGUCCCCCAGUAUCCAGGGUCCCUCCCCUGAACCCCUCUGUGCCCUCCCAGGUGACAGACAGGAAGCUCAACCUCUGAGGUGCAGAUUUUGCCUCAGGCAACUAGAUUUAUUAACAAGAAAAAAUUUUUGUCAGCUCAACACUGACCAACCAAGUCCACUGUUAAUAAAGGAUAACAAAUCUAUCACUUAAUUCAUAAAACAUACACCUCAAGCAGUUACAACUGAAAAUAAAUUUGGAUUUCUUUUGUUUAAUUUAAAAGCCUCAAAAAUAACAAGCAAUGUUUUUAAAACAUGUAGUAGAUGUGGCUGUCUAUUAUACAAUAUACACUGUACACAGAGCUGGAGGGCGGCGGGGCCAGUGGGAGGGCGUCUGUGUGGGUCAGACCUGGAUCCAGGUGGAAACACGGCGUUGCUUAGGACGAGAGAAAGAAUUCAUACGCUCAUCACUGCUCCCCAAAACCCUAACUGAAAGCAGGCACAAGGCGCGGACAACCAAGGAGAGGACGAGGGAAGCAAUUAAAUAAAACUUGUUAAAGCAAACACAAUACACAGUGCUCAUCAU